rnacentral:rRNA from 1 species
UACGGGGGGGGCAAUCGUUGUUCGGAAUUACUGGGCGUAAAGGGCUCGUAGGUGGCCAACUAAGUCAGACGUGAAAUCCCUCGGCUUAACCGGGGAACUGCGUCUGAUACUGGAUGGCUUGAGUUUGGGAGAGGGACGCGGAAUUCCAGGUGUAGCGGUGAAAUGCGUAGAUAUCUGGAGGAACACCGGUGGCGAAGGCGGCGUCCUGGACCAACACUGACACUGAUGAGCGAAAGCCAGGGGAGCAAACGGG